rnacentral:sRNA from 1 species
AGCAACUGCAGCAACAGCAACUGCAGCAACACCAAUUCCGCAGCAACGCCAACACCUUGGCGCAUAAAUUUACAGCCAACGACGCAUGUCACAUGGCCCCUUCCUUCCUUCCAUCCUAUCCUUCAGUUAUGGAAACAUAUAUAUAUAUAUACUAUAUGAGUGCAUGUUGCAUGUGGAGCGGCGGCUGCCUCAAUAGUGUCAAAUGUGAAAUUUAUGUGGGCAAGUGAGCGACAGGCGGAGCAUGCGCAGCCAUCCAAGCUAAAAGAUUAUACAAAUUCCAGAUGAAAGUUCCUGCAAGCUGCUUAGCAUUUUUUUUUAGUACCAGCAAUUAGUGGGCAUGCAAAUUGCAGAGACAUGAUCGCCAAAACUAGGGCGUAGCUCAUAACUUCAUCGAAAGCGGGUCAUUUAACUGAAAUGCACUCAGUUCUUGGGUAUGCUACUUUAUUUAAAAUCAUCUGAUGUCAUAUAUACAUUUUAUUAAACAGAUUGUGCACCUAGAAUCUUCAAGAUAAGUAUCUGCAUACAUAGCACAUGCACCCAAUGGACAAUUUGAUAGAUUGAUUGGCAGUUGCAUUUUGCAAUGCAAAUGCGGACAAGAUUUAUACAACAAAUAAUGCAUGCGCAUCACAAACUAAAAGUGUUCAUUAAAGUGCGGUAAACAAUAAAUACAGGCAUGUUUUAGAGAUGUCUGUUAUAAAAUGCAUUGAUACGUUUGCAGUUCGAUUUAAUAAUCUGUGUUAUUAUUAAUUCAGUUCAUUGAUUUAUGUUUUUGAUAUUUAUUUAUGUUAGCAUACUAACUGUUUUUUAGCACUCAUUAAUUUAAGAGCAUUUGCGAUUCAGUGCAGACAGGCACGCAUUUUUUGCUUACAAACAUUUUUUUUAUGCGUUUCUCUUUAAAAAUGCAAAUUUUUUCGCUCGCAUAUUGUUUGUCGGUCUGUUUUUAUUAUGCCUUGCGAGAUAUGUAGCACACGUCCAUGUGGAACCGGCGUCUGUCCGUCUGUCUGUCCGUCCGUUUGCCAGUCAGUCAUGCAGUCAGUCCGUCAAUGCCUCAGUCAUUCAGUCAGUUGGGCAGACAAGCGUGUCACUGCAUUGCCAUCGGCUAUAGUUUUACAGAGGAAAAGCAAUUCAUUCAGUCACGCACACUCAUAGAUCCAGAUACAUUCAUUCAGAUUUUCAAGCGUUGUGCACUGCUGAUUUUAUGUUAUGUUACUUAAAUGCUGUCACACAAAGGCGCACAAAUUGAGUCUUUACUGUGCCUGCAUAUGGUUGGACAGCGAGGAGGCAAAUUCUUAACAUUCAAAUGAGCAUGGAACACUGCACGCCCACACUGUCAAUUGUGUUCGAAAUAGUUUCGAUUUUGCUGUUCUAUAUUUAUCAAGUGACAAGGCCUGUUCGAUUCAGAAAACUAUAGUUUGGCUGUCAUACGCGGUUCAAGGGUACUUUGAUUAAUGAGUUGGUUGUGCGAGUGACUCACUCGCUUAAAUGGGAGAAAUACUUUUGGGCACCAAGUUAAUCAAUUUCACUGUUUCGGGUGCGUGGGAAAGUCCCUUGUAAUGCGCUUUUAAUUGCAACGAACACAGAAAUAAUUGCACUCAACUCGGUGGUAACUGAGGCAACUUUCACUGGCUGUAAUUCAAACUGACAUCUCGUCCCCAGGGAGAACUCUUUGCCAGCAAUUACAGACACAACAAAAACGCAUAAAUUACGGCCCAAAAUUGGCAUCGAACCGACCAAAAAAAAAUGAAACAAAAACUUUAUAAGGAAGUUGGGCCCCUACGUGUCGUAUACGUAAUUACAAAUUUAUGUGAAUGCCGGUGGAUGUGUAUGAAAAACAAUUACACGACCGCACACACCACACUCUCGAAUGCAUAAUGCAGCAGUUGCAGUUGCACUUUCAGUCGCUCCGUCAUUGAGGCAGUCAGUUUUUUAUUUUUCUUAAUUUAUUUAGUUUUUAAGCCAGUUGCCUUUGGGCCACACUUGUCGGGAGUGUUGGCAAUUGAAAUCAAUAUGCUCGAGCACACUACAAAUUUGUGCGGUUGCCAAACUGGAUGAUCGACCCACGCCCGAAAAUCGGUUGAAAUAAAUGUAAGAAAAAUUAAAAGCAGUCAUUUUGCAAUCGUAUCUAAUGAGGUGCGAAGAGAGGCGUUACAACGCCCCAAAGAAACAAAACCAAUGCAACAGAAUAUUGUCAACAGCUUUGCUUACAACGAUUUGCACUUUAGGCCUAAUCCCCCGAGAAGCCUGUGUAUCUAUAUAUCUUUAUGUACUCAUAUAGCGACAGCGAGUGGGCAGAAGUCGGGGAAAACUUGCUCCUUGGACGGCAAACCACUGAUGAUGAAGCCAUUAAAUGGAAAAUUAUAUGCCGGCGCUCGGUAAUUGGCCAAGUGCAUUGAAAUUAAACCUGGUUUAGUGUCUUGCAAUUCGAGUCUGAGUGUUGCGAUUACAUGGAAAUUUAGCAUUCAAUAAAACUCGACUUUAAUGCAGGGGAAUAAAGUUCGAAUACUUAAUUAAACUGAAAGGCUGGAAAAUUAAAGAUUGAAAUGAAAUCAUUUACAUUUUCAUUUCUUUAUUUAAAUAUAAAGUUUAAUGCAUUAUAUUACAAAGGCUGAACUGGCAAAUGAAAGUAUACAUGAAUGAUUUUAAUGCAUAACUCGCAGUCCACUAAAAUAUGUAUAAGAACACACUUAAUUUAUCUUUUAUCUUCCAAGAUUUUAGCUUGGCAAAUUUCGACAUAUAUUGAAAGCCAAGAACUUGUGGAUUAGUAUUUAAAUUCUUUCAGUAUUAGCUUUGCUGAAACAUUCCGAGCUGCGGCUUAGAUUGAACCAAUUUCCCUUCUUCGCAUGCAUUAUUCAUUCCAUUGUACGAGUACUUGGCCUAUGCAUAUAAAGUACGCAAAAGUUCGUUGAAUUUUAAGAGUUUUCGCGCACAUUUAAAAAUAAAAACCAACCCACGCCCAGAAAAAACCGCGAAAAAUCAGGAAAAGCUGCAAAAGACAGCGAAUUCGUUCCUCAGAAUGAAGGCGUGCUAUAUACAUAAGUACUUCUAAUUGCUUCCGUGAAAUGAAACAGACCAGGAACCACAUAGACAAACAUACACUUUUGUAUAAUUUAAACAAUGCCAAGGAAAGACGAAAAUAUCUGAAGAUGAUUUUCCGCAGAAAUACGUAUGGUCCAGAGAAUCGAAAGCAAACGAUGACGAAACUGGUAAAUAAACAGCACGUGAAUUAUAAAA